rnacentral:rRNA from 1 species
GACGAACGCUGGCGGCGUGCUUAACACAUGCAAGUCGAACGGAAAGGCCCUGCUUUUGUGGGGUGCUCGAGUGGCGAACGGGUGAGUAACACGUGAGUAACCUGCCCUUGACUUUGGGAUAACUUCAGGAAACUGGGGCUCAUACCGGAUAGGAGCUCCUGCUGCAUGGUGGGGGUUGGAAAGUUUCGGCGGUUGGGGAUGGACUCGCGGCUUAUCAGCUUGUUGGUGGGGUAGUGGCUUACCAAGGCUUUGACGGGUAGCCGGCCUGAGAGGGUGACCGGCCACAUUGGGACUGAGAUACGGCCCAGACUCCUACGGGAGGCAGCAGUGGGGAAUAUUGCACAAUGGGCGGAAGCCUGAUGCAGCAACGCCGCGUGCGGUAUGACGGCCUUCGGUUUGUAAACCGCUUUCGCCUGUGACGAAGCGUGAGUGACGGUAAUGGGUAAAGAAGCACCGGCUAACUACGUG